UCUACGGGUGGCAGCAGUGGGGAAUAUUGGGCAAUGGGCGCAAGUCUGACCCAGCAACGCCGCGUGAAGGAUGAAGGUUUUCGGAUUGUAAACUUCUGUCGCGAGGGACGAAGAAUGAUGGUACAUUGUAAGAAAGCCCUGGCUAACCACGUGGCAGCAGCCGCGGGAAAACGGAGGGCACAAGCGUUGGUCGGAAUGACUGGGCGUACAGGGAAUGUAGGCGGUUUAUCAAGUUAGAUGUGAAACCCCGCGGCGUAACCGGGGAACUGCAUCUAAAACUGGUGUGCUGGAGUACAGUAGAGGUGGGUAGAAUUCCAAGUGUAGCGGUGGAAUGCGUAGAUAUUAGGAGGAACACCAGAGGCGAAGGCGACUCACUGGACUGUGACUGACGCUGAGGCGCGAAAGCGUGGGGAGCAAACAGGAUUAGAUACCCUUGUAGUC
rnacentral:rRNA from 1 species